rnacentral:rRNA from 1 species
AGUACGGCGAGUGAAGCGGGAAGAGCUCAAAUUUGAAAUCUGGUGGCCUCAGGUCAUCCGAGUUGUAAUCUAUAGAAGUGUUUUCCGUGCUGGCUCAUGUACAAGUCCCUUGGAACAGGGCGUCAUAGAGGGUGAGAAUCCCGUCCUUGACAUGAACUACCAGUGCUCUGUGAUACAUUUUCAACGAGUCGAGUUGUUUGGGAAUGCAGCUCAAAAUGGGUGGUAAAUUCCAUCUAAAGCUAAAUAUUGGCGAGAGACCGAUAGCGAACAAGUACCGUGAGGGAAAGAUGAAAAGCACUUUGGAAAGAGAGUUAAACAGUAUGUGAAAUUGUUAAAAGGGAAACGAUUGAAGUCAGUCGUGCUCUUUGGAUUCAGCCGGUUCUGCCGGUGUACUUCCUUUGAGUGGGGUCAACAUCAGUUUUGAUCGCUGGAUAAAGGCUGGAGGAACGUAGCACCCUCGGGUGAACUUAUAGCCUCCUGUCACAUACAGUGGUUGGGACUGAGGAACGCAGCACGCCUUUAUGGCCGGGAUUCGUCCACGUACGUGCUUAGGAUGUUGACAUAAUGGCUUUAAACGACCCGUCUUGAAACACGGACC